rnacentral:rRNA from 1 species
UACGUAGGGUGCAAGCGUUGUCCGGAAUCAUUGGGCGUAAAGCGCGCGUAGGCGGCCCGGUAAGUCCGCUGUAAAAGUCCAGGGCUCAACCCUGGAAAGCCGGUGGAUACUGUCGGGCUAGAGUCCGGAAGAGGCGAGUGGAAUUCCUGGUGUAGCGGUGGAAUGCGCAGAUAUCAGGAGGAACACCGAUGGCGAAGGCAGCUCGCUGGGACGGUACUGACGCUGAGGCGCGAGAGCGUGGGGAGCGAACAGG